rnacentral:tRNA from 2 species
CUUGAGGAUGGGUUCGAGUCCCUUCUCUCUAG